GGGAGGCAGCAGUGAGGAAUAUUGGACAAUGGGUGAGAGCCUGAUCCAGCCAUCCCGCGCGAAGGACGACUGCCCUAUGGGUUGUAAACUUCUUUUAUACUGGGAUAAACCUACCCUCGUGAGGGUAGCUGAAGGUACAGUAUGAAUAAGCACCGGCUAACUCCGUGUCUCAGCCG
rnacentral:rRNA from 1 species